UAUUUUUGGACUGAUGCGACUUAUACUCAGGUGCGACUUAUAGUCCGAAAAAUACGGUAAUAUAUUUUAGAUGAAAUUCGAGAGUUCCCAGACCCUGCAUUGACAACAAUACAACUGAAAUGUUCCAAGGUCCAGAAACUUAGCAAGGACAUUGGUAAAUGCGUGUGCGUUUUUUUACAUAUAGCAGAAGAACAGUGGCAGCUCACCACUGCAGACGGAAUGAGGAGGAGAAGAUUUGUUAAAUCAAGUCAUUAUUUUUGUUUUCUUUGCGCACAAAAAGUAUUCUCGUAGCUUUGUGAAAUUACGGUUGAAACCCUGAUUUCACAUGGACUAUUUUACAGAUUACAGAUACUUGCUAUAUUUCUGGACCUGUGAACAUUUCAUUUGCAUUGCUGUCUAUGUAAUGUCUGGGGCUCUCGAAUUUUGUCAAAAAUAUCUUUAUUUGUGUUCCAGAGAUGAACUAAGGUCUUUUUUUAGGUCAUUUUUUUGGGUAAACUAACCCUUUAAUGCAUGGACAACAUGCCCCACUAUGUUGUUGAAAACAAUUGUUUUUUUUUUUCUGGCCAAUAAUGUUGGAGAUGCAAGUCAUAUUUUUUUUUUUUUUUUUUGUAAAGUAAAAGUUUACUUUAUAAUAUACUGACUAAAUUUUUUUCUGGAGUAAAUAUUAAUUGUGACAACCCCAGUGGUCUUCCUUAUUACUGAAAAGAUCUCGACUAAAACCUUAAGUGAUGAAAUCCGUCACUUACUACUUCUCACAGUUUGUCAUGUUGGAUAUACGAGUCCAUUGCAAGUCCUCACAGUUUCCUCAGAGAGACUUCCUACAUGUGUUUCAGUGUCCGAAAAAUUUCUGCAUCGCUGACUGUCUGUAUCACAGUUUAUGAGGGAAAUGUUCUGUUUAAACUAUGCACAGGUCAUAAUUUUAUGGCUCAUCUGGGCCCUUGAAGUUAUGAGCAGCAACACUUUGGACAUAAAACAUUAAUCAGGAUGAAAAACUGCUGUGAUUUAUCUCUGUUUAAAUGUGCAGUGAGCAGAGACAGAUACAGGUUUACAUGUCUCUUUGAGUCACCCCUCAGGCAGCAGCGCCUCUGCAUUCAUCAGAAUACUGCAAACAAUGGAAUACACAUUCUCUCUAUCUGAGACGUCUCCAGAAACAGCCCUGAUGCAUGUCUGUGGCUCUGGCUGUGAACGGACCCCUUCCCAGGAUUUCACCUCAAACCACAAGGGAAAAAACAGCUCUUCAUGUCCCUGGUCCACCGCUCAUGUGUGCAGGAGCUGACGGCUGCAGGCCAGAGUGACUGGCCGUGUCAAGCGAGAGUUUGUGCUGUCAUGUUACCUCGAGAGUCCUGUUUCACGUCGAUGUGCACUCUCACCAGAAACACAUCGCUGGAAACACUUGGCCCCGAGCUACUUUCCCAUCCAGCUGCGAUGUUGAAAGCACAUUUGACUUCUGCUAGAUUUCAAGCUUUCAGUAUCAUGUCAUUUCAGAAUGGCUAUGGUUUGUAAUUGAUAUUGUCUCAAAGGUCCCACUCUUUCUGUACUUGCUCUUGAGUAUGCUGCAAUUGUAAGGCGCUUAUUUGAGCUACUUAACUUGGAAGUAUGAAAACAGUGUUGUGGAGUCACAUUUUUCAAAAGCCACUUUUUUUCUUCUUUAAGAACAUUGUAAUCCAUCAAAUCUUGGUUGUGAAAAGAGAAACUGUGUGCAUGUUUACACUCACAUUGACUUGGAGGCAUACCAGACUUAUGUUGUUCUUAUAUAAAGCUAAUCAAACUAACCAAAAUCCUUUAUUUUACUUCUAAUAAAUUUACGUUUAAAAUAAUUUUACCUUUUGGUUAUCUGUUCUGUGUAAUGUUUUUUUGAAUAAAGUUUCAUUAGAUGCCGUUUGGCAAUAGUCCAGCUGUUAUAAUAGUUUUUAUUUAUAUUUAAUUCAAAAGGAAAGCUGCACUUUACAGUAAAUGUGAUUCAUUGUGUAUUCAGCUUGCAGUAUGAUGCAUUCAUAUUUUUUCUCAUUGCUUUAGGGAUGUGUCAUUUGU